AACGAACGCUGGCGGCAUGCCUAACACAUGCAAGUCGAACGAGACCUCCGGGUCUAGUGGCGCUCGGGUGCGUAACGCGUGGGAACCUGCCCGUAGGUUCGGAAUAACUCCCUGUAAGGGGUGCUAAUACCGGAUAAUGUCUUCGGACCAAAGAUUUAUCGCCUUUGGGUGGGCGCGCGUUGGAUUAGCUGGUUGGUAGGGUAAAAGCCUGCCAAGGCGUCGAUCCAUAGCUGGUCUGGGAGCAUGCUCAGCCACACUGGGGCUGAGACACGGCCCAGACUGCUACGGGAGGGAGGAGUGGAGAAUACUGGACGAGGGGGGAAGGCCUGAUCCAGCCAUGCCGGGUAAGUGAUGAAGGGGGUAGGGAUGUACAGCUCCUUUACACGGGGCGAUAAUGACGGUACCGGGAGAAUAAGCACCGGCUAACUCCGUG
rnacentral:rRNA from 1 species